AGAGUUUGAUCCUGGCUCAGGAUGAACGCUAGCGACAGGCCUAACACAUGCAAGUCGAGGGGUAACAGGGAGCUUGCUCCGCUGACGACCGGCGCACGGGUGCGUAACGCGUAUGCAACCUACCUUUUACUGGGGGAUAGCCCGAAGAAAUUCGGAUUAAUACCGCAUAACAUUAUUUGGUUUCAUGAUUGAAUAAUUAAAACUCCGGUGGUAAAAGAUGGGCAUGCGUGACAUUAGAUAGUUGGUGAGGUAACGGCUCACCAAGUCUACGAUGUCUAGGGGUUCUGAGAGGAAGAUCCCCCACACUGGUACUGAGACACGGACCAGACUCCUACGGGAGGCAGCAGUGAGGAAUAUUGGUCAAUGGGCGCAAGCCUGAACCAGCCAUGUCGCGUGUAGGAAGACUGCCCUAUGGGUUGUAAACUACUUUUGUAUGGGAAGAAAUAUAUCUACGUGUAGAUAUUUGCCGGUACCAUACGAAUAAGCACCGGCUAACUCCGUGCCAGCAGCCGCGGUAAUACGGAGGGUGCGAGCGUUAUCCGGAUUUAUUGGGUUUAAAGGGUGCGUAGGCGGAAUGAUAAGUCAGUGGUGAAAGUUUGUGGCUCAACCAUAAAAUUGCCUUUGAUACUGUCAUUCUUGAGUACAUUUGAGGUGGGCGGAAUGUGUUGUGUAGCGGUGAAAUGCAUAGAUAUAACACAGAACACCAAUUGCGAAGGCAGCUCACUAAACUGUAACUGACGCUGAUGCACGAAAGCGUGGGUAUCGAACAGGAUUAGAUACCCUGGUAGUCCACGCCGUAAACGAUGAUUACUAGUUGUUUGUGAUACACAAUAAGCGACAAAGCGAAAGCAUUAAGUAAUCCACCUGGGGAGUACGUUGGCAACAAUGAAACUCAAAGGAAUUGACGGGGGCCCGCACAAGCGGAGGAACAUGUGGUUUAAUUCGAUGAUACGCGAGGAACCUUACCUGGACUUAAAUGGGGAGUGACAGACUUAGAAAUAGGUUUUUCUUCGGACACUCUUCAAGGUGCUGCAUGGUUGUCGUCAGCUCGUGCCGUGAGGUGUCGGGUUAAGUCCCAUAACGAGCGCAACCCACGUUGUUAGUUACCAGCACAUAAUGGUGGGCACUCUAACAAGACUGCCGGUGUAAACCGCGAGGAAGGUGUGGAUGACGUCAAAUCAGCACGGCCCUUACGUCCAGGGCUACACACGUGUUACAAUGGCCGGUACAGAGGGCAGCUACUUGGUGACAAGAUGCGAAUCUCGAAAGCCGGUCUCAGUUCGGAUCGAAGUCUGCAACCCGACUUCGUGAAGCUGGAUUCGCUAGUAAUCGCAUAUCAGCCAUGAUGCGGUGAAUAGGUUCCCGGGCCUUGUACAC
rnacentral:rRNA from 1 species